rnacentral:rRNA from 1 species
UACGUAGGCAGCGAGCGUUGUUCGGAGUUACUGGGCGUAAAGCGUGCGUAGGCGGUCUUGUAAGUCUGUUGUGAAAUCUCCCGGCUUAACUGGGAGGGCGCGGUGGAAACUGCAAGGCUGGAGUAUGGGAGAGGUAGGCGGAAUUCCUGGUGUAGCGGUGAAAUGCGUAGAUAUCAGGAGGAACACCUGUGGUGUAGACGGCUUACUGGACCAUGACUGACGCUGAGGCACGAAAGCGUGGGGAGCAAACAGG